rnacentral:rRNA from 1 species
AGGGAAUAGAUACCCGGGUAGUCCUGGCAGUAAACGGUGCACGUUUGGUGUGGGCGCAAUCGACCGCGUCCGCGCCGUAGCUAAACGCGUUAAGCGUGCCGCCUGGGAAGUACGGUCGCAAGAUUAAAACUCAAAGAAAUUGACGGGGACCCGCACAAGCGGUGGAGUAUGUGGCUUAAUUCGAUGCAACGCGAAGAACCUUACCUGGUCUUGACAUGCAUUGUGUCUCCGCUGAAAGGCGGAUAGGGUAGCAAUACCCGCUUUGCACAGAUGCUGCAUGGCUGUCGUCAGCUCGUGUCGUGAGAUGUUGGGUUUAAGUCCCGCAACGAGCGCAACCCCUGUGGUUUGUUGCCACCCGGUUUACCGGAGCACUCGAACCAGACUGCCUCGAUCAACGAGGAGGAAGGUGGGGAUGACGUCAAGUCCGUAUGGCCUUACGACCAGGGCUGCACACGUACUACAAUGCUCAGCACAAUGUGAACCGAUGCCGCGAGGUGGAGGAAAUCAAC